GAAGCAAUGACUGGAUGAUCAUAGUUUGCAGUAUGGCACUGUAGGAGUUGAUUAACUCUGGUUUGCAUUUACCUGGACUGUGGAGAUCAGCAAUCCCCAUUGUGGUGUGAAGCAUAUCUGUGAGUGUGACAGAGUGACCCUAGCUGCCCCUCCUCACCUCUUGUUUGUCACAGUCUCAAGAGGAAAUUCAGCUACAGUAUGAGGCUUUCGAUUUCAUGAGCUAAUGCUAAGCUUCCCAGCAAGUGCCUGCCUUGUGAGUUAAUCUUGCACUCAUUAUCUACACCAGCAAAAAUACACCCUUGUGACUGAAAGAAAUGGCACCUUAACAGAAAAUAGAAAAGAAAAGCAGCUGCCCACUGUGAUGAGAGAAAACAACCUGAGCACAAUACUCCUUGAAGACCUGUUUGAAUUAAUACAUAACGACAGCCAUCAUCAAAACAAAGAUAAUGUAAUAGAGAUAAAAAAAAAAAAAAAGGAAAGAAAGAAAGAAAGAAAAACACAAUAGUGAGAGGGUGUAGUAAUAAAACUGCUUCUGGCAAAAGCAUAAAUAAGGACUGUACCAAUACAACCAUGGAAAGAAUUAACAGGACUGGAUUUCCUUCUAAGCAGUCCAAUAUUUUUGUGUUAUAAUGAUGAGUAAUCAGUUGAAGGAGGGGAAAAAAAUAUAUUAUUCCUUCCAGGGUGCAUCAAAAGAUUUAUAAAAAUAAUUUGCAUUCAUAAAGCAAGAAAGGUAGUGAGAAACCCAGAGUGUUUUCAAGCGUACCACCUGACUCUCUUUCCAGUUAAUGUGCUAAUCUUUUAUUCUUCAUGAUUCAUCUUGCUGUGCAUGUCAUUCACAUUAACCAUCACUCAAACAAUUUGCAAGUUGUGUGGUCCCAUGGAAACACAGCCCAGAGACUUCCAGGUCCAUUCCCCCUGCUCCAUGCCAUUUGUCCUGGCCUGACCUG